GUUAGCUCAGUUGGUAGAGCAGUUGGCUUUUAACCAAUUGGUCGUAGGUUCGAAUCCUACACGGC
rnacentral:tRNA from 1 species